UUUUUUUUUUUUUUUUUUUUUACCAGUACCACACUGCCUUGAUUACUGUAGCUUUGUAGUAUUGUUUAAAGUCUGGGAAAGUUAUGCAUCUGGAUGUGUGUUGUUGUUGUUGUUGUUGUUGUUUUUCCCUUAGAAUUGUUUGUAGACCAUUCUCAGUCUUUAUGGUUCCACGUGAAUUUUCAGAUCAUUUGUUCUAGUUCUGUGAAAGAUGUCAUGGGUAAUUGGCAAGGGAUUGCAUUAACCCUGCAGAUUGCUAUGGGUACUGUGGCCAUUUUAACAAUAUGAAUUCUUCCAAUCAAGUCACAUGGAAUAUCUUUCCAUUUCUAAGUAUCCACUUUAAUUUUCUUGAGUAACGUUUAAUAGUUCUCAGCAUAAAAGUCUUUUACCUCCUUGGUCAGGUUUAUUCCUAGUUAUUCAUUGUUGGCGGGCUUGAUUUUAAAAGGCUUUGUAGGAGUUCCCAUUGUGGCACAGUGGUUAAUGAAUCCGACUAGGAACAAUGAGGUUGCAGGUUCAUUCCCUGGGCUUGCUCAGUGUGUUAAGGAUCCAGUAUUGCCGUGAGCUGUGGUGUGUGUCACAGAUGUGGCUCAGAUCCUGCAUUGCUGUGGCUCUGGCAUAGUCCAAUGGCUACAAAUCUAAUUAGACCCUUAUCCUGGGAACCUCCAUAUGCUGUGGGAGCAGCUCAAGAAUAAGAAAAAUACAAAAAUAAAUAAAGAAGAGACAUUGUAUUUUUAUAUUCCUUUUCUAAUAUUUCAUUGUUAGUAUACCAAAAUGCAGCCAAUUUCUGAGUGAUAGUUUGUGUCCUGCAACUUGGCUGAAUCCGUCAUUCAGUUCAAGGAGCUUUUGUGUGGAGCCAUUAGGGUUUUUCCUCUGUGGUAUCAUGUCAUCUGCAUAUAGUCAGAGUUUUACCUCUCGUAUUCCCUUUCACUUUGGUUUGUUUGCUUGCCGUGGCUCUGAGUUCUAAUACUAGGUUGAAUAAAAGGGGUGAGAGUGGGCAUCCUUGUCUGGUUCCAUAUUUUAGUGGAAGGCUUUCAGCUUUUCCCCAUUGAGGAUUUUAUUGGAUAUAAAGAUAAUAUACCUUUGUUAUGUUAAGACAUAUUCCCUCUUUACUCAAAUUGGUCAGAGUUUUUUUUUUUAAUCAUUAGUGGAAGAUGGAUUUUUUUCAAAUGCUUUUCCUUUAGCUGUCGAACUUCUCUUCUGGUUUUUAACUCUCCUUUUUUUUUAAUGUGGUGUAUGACAUUGAAUGUUUUGUACAUGCUUACUCAUCCUUGUGAAUUUGGGAUGAAUCCCACAUGGUCAUGGUGUAUGAUCUUUUUUAUAUGUAGUUGGAUUCAGUAGACUAAAUUUUUGUUGAGAAUGUUUGCAUCUAGACAGAUCAAAGAUAUUGGCCUAUAAUUUUCUUUUUUGGUAAUGUCAUUGUCUUAUUUUAGUAUGAGGGUGAAGGUGGCUUCAUCGAAUGUCCUUGGGAGAGUUCCUUGUUCUUGUACCUUUGGGAGAAGAUUAAGAAGGAUGUGUCUAAAUUCCUUCAUGUAUGUUUGGUACAAUUUGCUCCUGAAGCCAUCAUGUCCUGAACUUCUGCUUGUAGUGAAUGUUAUUCUUACAUAUUUGAUUUCAUUUUUGAUGAUAAUUCUGUUCAACAUAUCUAUUUCUCCUUGAUAGGGAGAAUUCAUGUGUCUCAAAUGUUGUCCAUUUCUUCUGGGUUGUCACAUUUGUUGGCAUUUUAAUUGUUCAUCGUAUUCGCUUUUGGUUUUUUGUGUUUCUGUAGUAUCUGUUGGGAUGUCUUCUUUUCCAUUUCUCACUGGGUUGAUAUGAGUUUCUUUCCUCUUGGUGAGUCUGUCCAGAGUUUUGUCAUUUUUGUUUUACCCUUUCAAAGAACCGCUGUUGGUUCUCUUAAUUUUUGCUGUUGUUUUUUGAAUCUCUAUUGUCUUGAUUUCCUCUCUGAUGUUUAUGAUUUCCUUCCUUUUGAGGACUUUCUUUUUUGUUUGUUCUUCUUUUUCUAAUGCUUUUAGGAGGUAGAAGAUGAUUUUCUUCUUCUUUGAGGAAGGACUGUAUUGUUAUGAACUUCCCUCUGAGAACAGCUUUUGCAGCAUCCCAUAGAUGUUGACUGAUUGUGUUUUCUCUGUCAUUUGUCUCAAGGUAUGUUUAAAAUUCCCUUUUGAUUUCCUCAUUGACCCAUUGUGUGUGUUUAGUAGCAUGUUGUUUAGUCUCCAUGUAGUCUUAUUUUAUUGUCCUGUGGUUGAUUUCUAGUUUCAUGCCAUUGUGGUCAGAGACGAUGCUUGAAAAAAUUUCUUUACUCUGAAGUUUGUUGACUUCAGUUAUAUGCCCCCAUAUGCGGUGAGUCCAUGAGACUAUUCCACAUGCACUUGAAAAGAAUGUAUAUUCUGAUAGUUUUGGAUGUAAUGUAUACAUUUGGGUAUAAAGUCCUGAAAAUAUCAUUAAGCGUAAUGUUUCUAUUGUGUCAUUGAAGAUCUUGUUUGGCUUACUGAUAUUCAGUCCCAAGGACCUGUGCAUUGAUGUGAGUGGGGUGUUGAAAUCUCCUCUAACCUUACUGUAUCCCCCUCAAUUUGUCUUUUUAUGUCUGUUAGUAUUAAUUAUGUAUUUGAGUGCUCUUAUUUUAGAGGCAUAUAUAUUGAUGAUUGUAAUAUCCUCUUACAUUUUCCUUUUAUCAUUAGUGUCCUACUUUGCUUUUCUUUAUGGCCUUUGUUUUAAAGCCUACUUUGUCUGAGGUGAAUGUUACAAAGACUUGCUUCCUUGUCUUUUCCAUUCACAUGAUAUAUCAUUUUCCAUUCCCUCAGUUUCAGUUUAUAUGGGUCUUUGCCCUCAGUUGUGUCUCUUGGAGGCAGCAUAUUGUAGGCUUUUUGUUUUUUAAUCCAGUCUGCCACUGUCUUUUGAUUGGAGCAUUCAGUCCAUUGACAUUUAAGGUGAUUAUUGAAAAAUAUGUGUUUAUUGUGUUUUAAAACUCAUUAUGUCUCAGUUGAGUUUGUGUUUCACUUUGUUUCAUUCCUUUCUUAUCUUUUUCAUUCUUUCUUUCUUGGAUGAUUUCCUUUUACUUUAGGAUUGUUUUCUCUUCUUUUUGGUUUUGGUGAAUGUAGUGUUUGGUUUGGAUAAGUGGUUGCCAUGUUUUUCAAGUAUGUUAACCCCUCCCUAUAUCUGCUCAUCAGUCCUCAACUGACAUUAUAAGAAAUAUUCAAAGGUCUUCUUGCAGUGAAAAAGAAAAGACUACAAGAAAUAAUGGGAGUUCCCAUUGCAGCUCAUUGGUAACAUACCCGACUCAUAUCCAUGAGGACUUGGGCUUGUUCCUUGGCCUCACUCAGUGGAUUAAGGACCUUGUGUUGCCCUGAGCUAUGGUGCAGGCUGGCAGCUACAGCUCCACUGGCCCCUAACAUGGGAACUGCCAUAGGCCACAGGUGUAGCUCCCAAAAAAGACAAAAGAUAGAUAAGAAUGGAUAGCAAGGGGAAAAUCCGACUUUAAAGGCAAAAAAUGGAAGUUCCCAUUGUGGCUUAGCAGGUUAAGAACCCAGCUCAUAUCCAGGAGGCUGCAUGGUUAAUUCCUAGCCUCACUGGUUAAGGAUCUGGUAUAGGGACAAGCUGCAGCACGGGUCACAGAUGUGGCUCAGAUCUUGCAUUUCUGUGUCUGAAGUGUGGUCCAGAAGCUGCAGCUGUGAUUCCACCCCCAGCUCUGGUGUCAAAUCAUAUGCUGUGUUCACAGCCCUAAAAAGAAAAAAAAAAGAAAGAAGGAAACAUACAAAAGGCUGUGAAUGAAACCACUUAAAUAAGCGACUAUGAAUGUUUGAAAAGAAUUAUAAAAUCAACUCCACCUAUGACAAAUAGUUAGGGGACAGAUAAGAAGAUGGAAAAGAGGACAUCAAAAACAGAAAAUAUGGGGGAGGGCAUAAAACAGUAGAUCUUUUAGAACUUAUUUGAACUUCAAUGAGUAUCAGUUUAAAACAACUAGACAUUGAUAUAGAUCAACAUAUAUGAAACCCAAGGUAACCAUAAAUCAAAAUCCUCUAAUAGAUAUGUGAAAACAAGGGAAAGGAACAUCAGCUUAACACAUGAGCUAUGGGUUUUCAGCUCAGAGAUGGAGACCGGAGGCCUGGUGUGUCUCCAGACAGGCAGGUGGAUGCACAGGUCACCCAGGCAGCUUGGGCUGGUCCGAACCUGGCUGGGGGCGAGCUUCAGGCCCCCUGGGUUCUCGGGGCUGUUUGCAGGCUGGGUAGGGUGGGCCCCCCUAGCACACAAAGCAUGAGCAUUAAUCCAUGACAGAUCCUCUUCUGCUGUGGAUCCUGGAUUGCUAGUCUCAUCAUUGUCAGUUAAUAUUCUGCUGGACUCUCUGCAUAUCAGUGAACGAAGGAGGUGGUCUCCACUUUCCUCAUGAGCUGAUAUCCUGAGCAGGCUAUGGUUUCUUUGGGACACUGUUUUCCCCAAAAUCAUUGAAAAUUCUUCCCAGUGUUCUAAAUUGGGAGAGUGUGGAAACUGGAGUUUGAUGGUUGGUGGUUGGUUAGUUGUCUGGCUUGCUCCUUUGCCUGCUAAGUGUUUGCACAUUGGAGCAUUUAAUAAGUUUUUGUGUAGAUGGUACUUUGUGAAAAGUCUGUUGCUUUUGGAACUUGCUGGAUAUUUUAAAGCACUGAUUCUAUUUAUUUAUGUCUGAAUGUAUGUAUGUAGGUAUGUAUGUAUGAAAUCAGUGGGUUUUCAUAUAUGUUUGGUGGAAUUUGUGUUAGCUUUCCUAAGGUUUUCCAAUGGGGUGCAUUGCGGUCUUGGUUGGGAUGUUGCUAGUGGUUGUGUCAGGUCAUUGGAAAGACGAAAGGUGAGAGAUGAUCGCACUUGAAACAAUGGGGCAUCCAAUAUCUAAGCUGUGUACAGAGGAAAGAGAGGCCCAUCAAGGGGAUGCAGAGGGAUCCAUCAGUCACAUUCCAGGAAGAAUUCAUUAGAGUCUGAGGUCUAUGGAAGGAAAACGGUGAGUGGGACAUCCUGGGGGAGAGCAAGUAUGAAAAAAAGGAACCCAUGCUCCUUGGAUCAGCAGUUCUGUUAGAUGUGAAAAAUGUGUUGUGCCUUCUGUAAGCAACUCCUUUUUUUCUGAAUGAUGGGAGCAGUAUCUUUGUAGGUAGCUGUCUCAAGGGUUUAGUCCCAUCUUGAGCAGUAUCAUGAAUGUAUGAUUUUAUUUCUUGGUUUUGUUAUUUGUGGUAGACAGUGGUCAGCUUCCUGAGGGACAGAAACAUGGUUUCAUUCAUCUUUGACUUGUGGACUGUGUUUGGCACAAGCUAUCUAUAAAACAACACUUAUGGUGAAUGACCGACUGACUGAUGGUUGCCGAUUUAGGCCCCAAGGUCACAAACAAAACAGAAAAACAACUUUUGCUGUAGGGCUAGAACCAUUGAUCAAGUGCAUUAGCUCCUUGGUUGGCUUUGACCAUGGAGUAGAGUGACCCAUGUAGACUCCAUUUGUUUGAUGGGUAUGUGGAGCACUUGAUGGUACUGUAAGGUGACUGACUGCACUGUCGUUGGUGAUUCAGCCUUCCCCUUCCUAGGCUUUCCUUAAAUGAAACCUGGUAGAUGAUCAGAGGGCAAGAGUCCGAAUAUGUGUUGCAGAUGUUGAGGUUAGUUGAGCACCAAUGCUAGGGACCAUUUCCAGGAAUAAGCUAUCCAAGUGGUUUUGGGGCUGAGGUUCAGGAGACAGGCCCAAGGCAGCAGGAGUCCUGAGCCCUGGUUCCACCCCCUGUGAGCUUUCCUUUUGUGCUGUUAGACCAGCCCCUUUGCUUCCUGGCUGUGCUGCUUGCAGGCGCAUGUCUCCUGCUGAGUGAACCCAGAAGUGCAGCAGGUCACAGGGCUCACUUGUUGUCUGCCCGCCCAGGAGCUGGAGCUAGAGGUGUGAGCCAGAGAGGGUUCGAGCCACACUCUCCCAUCUGGCGUUGGACCCUGGGCAGGGCCCUGGCUGGGGGUCCAGGAUGCUGACCAUCCCUCACCUAUCUUCCCCAGGCCCCAGUUGGCAGCAAGGCAUUGUCAACCUGUGCGGGUCACCAAGGUAUGCAGGCCCCUCCCUAGGUUGCUUUGUGUGGCAAGCCUCUCCUCCUGUAGGUGUUGCCCUGUUGGGCUUGGGCCCACUCCCUCCUCUCCUUCUGUCUCCUCUGCCUUCCUGUUGCCUCCUCUAGCCCUGGGUCCCUCCUCUGGCUGGCAGGGAUCUCUCUUGGACCCCCCAGGGUGGCAGUUGGGCAGCUGGCAGUGCUGUCACGUCCCCAGUGGGCCUGAAUUUUGGCCUCCUAUCCUCAGGAGCCCCACUGGGUGCCUCCUGCCUGGUCCCAGGUCAGGUGAGGUCCCUUUGUGGAGGUUAGUCAGCCUCUUGGCCUUUCUUGUGCCCUUAUCGGUUUGCUCCCUUUUCCCCAUGGGGGAAGAUAUUUUUGGCCAUUAUGGUUUCCUGGAGUCCCCGGGCUCAGAGGAGACACCCUCGCUGCUGACCUCGGAUGAGGUGAUGCCUUCUCGGCAGUAGACCCCACUGCAGGGUGGCCCAGGGCACCCCAGCAGCCUGGGCUGGACUGAACCUGGCCAGAGGCAACCUUCAGGUCCUCUGGGAUCACGGGGCUGUCUGGCAGAUGGGCAGGCUGGGCCCCAUGAGUGCCCAAAGCCUCCUUUUCAGAUGUGCCUGAGCAGAAAUCCUCCACAGAUCCUCUUCUUCCCUGGAUGCUGGUGUCCUGGUCUCAUCAUUGCCAGUUCAUAGUCUGCUUGUCUCUCUGCACGUCAGUUCAUGAAGUAGGUUGUCUCCACUUUCCUCAGGAGCCCAUAUCCCGGUCAGGCUGUCAUUUCUCUGGGAAGCGGGUGUCCCCAAAGAGAGUCAAUGAGAAGCAUUCCCAGCAUGGGCUCGAAUUUGGGAAGGUCUGGACCUCUGAGGUUGGUGCUUGGUGCCUAGUGCCUGGUGCUUGGUUGUUUGGCUCACUUCCUCGCUGGCUAUGUGAUUGGACGUUGAUCAUUUAGGAAGUUCAUUCCUAGAUGGCACAUUUGGAAAAGUCUGUGGCUUUUGGCACUUGCUUGCUAUUUUCCAACAUUGCAUCUAUUUAUGUGUUUCUGUGUGUCUGUCUAUAUUUAUGUAGGUAUGGAAUCAGUGCAUUUUCAUAUGUUUUUGAUGAUAUUUGGGUUAUAUUUCCUAAGGUUUUCCAGUGGGGUGCAUUUUGGUCUAGGUUGGGAUGGGGCAGUGCUUGUGUCAGGUCAUCUGAAAGAGGGAGAGAGGGUAGGGAAUGGCAUUUUAAGAAACAGUGGGGUGGCCAACAUCUUAGCUGUGUGCAGAGAAAGAGAGGUUCAUAAAGGUGAUUGGGAGGCAUCACUCGGUCACCUUUCAGCAGUAAUUCAAGAAAGCCUGAGGUCCAUAAAAUGAAAAUGGUCAGUGAGAGGUUCUGGGGGAGAGAGAGUGUGAAAAAAAUGAAUCCACGCUCUUUGGGAUCAGCAGGCCCGAUACAGGAGA
rnacentral:lncRNA from 1 species